GCCCAGGUGGUGAAACUGGUAGACACGCUAGCUUCAGGAGCUAGUGCUCGCAAGAGCUUGGGAGUUCGACUCUCCCCUUGGGCACCA
rnacentral:tRNA from 1 species